CAUCUCACUCAUCUCUCUCUCACCCUCGCCUCAGAGACUACCCCAUGAACCCUAAUAGCUGCCCCCUUUUCCCACCACCACCCACUAGCGGCGCCACCUCCGUUCACCACCAAAAUAACACCAUAAAACCACCACGACCCCAUCUUCCCAAAUCCUAAACUAGCUCCCCUAGAAACCUCCUCAAUCUCGUCGAAUCUUGAAUCUAAAAUCAGAGGUCGAACCCCAAAAAACCAAAACUGUUCUGCCCUUCGAUUCCGUGGCUUGAAUGGCUAUUUGCUCCCGUCUUGUUGAAGAAUGAGGGUUGAUUAAAUGCAAAAGUGGUAUUGUUCACUUGUUUUUAUAAAGAACAACUGGGUAACAUCACUUUUCGUCUAAAUCAGUGUUUCAAAUUCGUUUCGAGUUGAGUCGGUAUGCUUCAGCACUUGAGUAGCAUAUGAGAUGUGAAGGGAAGCCAUGUAGUUGAUUUAGAUAGUGAAUAAAAUGGCCUCUGUUUUUAAAAGAUUUGAUCAUGUGUUUUCUUGUCUAAAAUAACUUGAUUAUUUGGACAUUAUUGUAUUCAGUCAUGACUUAUGCCGUAUAUUUUAGGAAGAUGCUUGAACUUUGGUUUGUUAUUUUAAUUCUGGAUUAGAUGAACUCCUUCUCAAAUACUUGUGUGUUGGGAUUGUUAUGAUAGGAAUUCAAUGAGUGUUGUUGUUAGUCGAGCUAAUAGUUUGAAUCUUGCAUCUUU